AUUGAACGCUAGCGGGAUGCUUUACACAUGCAAGUCGAACGGCAGCGCGGACUUCGGUCUGGCGGCGAGUGGCGAACGGGUGAGUAAUGUAUCGGAACGUGCCCAGUAGCGGGGGAUAACUACGCGAAAGCGUAGCUAAUACCGCAUACGCCCUACGGGGGAAAGCAGGGGAUCGUAAGACCUUGCACUCUUGGAGCGGCCGAUAUCGGAUUAGCUAGUUGGUGAGGUAACGGCUCACCAAGGCGACGAUCCGUAGCUGGUUUGAGAGGACGACCAGCCACACUGGGACUGAGACACGGCCCAGACUCCUACGGGAGGCAGCAGUGGGGAAUUUUGGACAAUGGGGGCAACCCUGAUCCAGCCAUCCCGCGUGUGUGAUGAAGGCCUUCGGGUUGUAAAGCACUUUUGGCAGGAAAGAAACGUCGCGGGCUAAUACCCCGUGGAACUGACGGUACCUGCAGAAUAAGCACCGGCUAACUACGUG
rnacentral:rRNA from 1 species